CAAAUUUCAUAAUUAUACAUAAGCCAUUUAAAUUGCAAUGUUCCAUCUUUAACAAAAACAAAAACUGUACGUGCAUCUUUGUUACAAAGAAAGUUGCACACAUAGCAAUAAAACGGGCUCUCCUUUGCUAUUCCUUCCAUAUUAUGUACCAUCGCCAUGCACUCUUCAAUGGAAGAUCGAGAUGAUAUAUGCAGAAUAUGAUGCAGCAAUCGAAGACAUUGAAUUUAAGGUAAUCUUAAUCUUAUCCUUCAGUGGACGCACCAGACUUCGUUCUUUCACAAUUAUCACAUAGGUUCAUUAUCAGUUCGAACAUGAAAUGAUUGCUUGCACUGUUGAUGCAAUUUCUAUUUCUAUUUGUGUGUUUGAAGGGAAACCAAAGAUAGGGGCCUAUGCUACUCUCAUUUCACUUGUACAAACAUCAGAGAAGAUCUUUAGAUUCUUCACAUAUACAGGCAGAGGCGGAGCCAACACCUGGCGAGGAGGCGCGGCCACACGUGCUAGCUCCCCUGUAAUGUUCGGGAGCCGUCGGACGGUAGAUGUGGGCAAUGGCAGAUUGACAGUUGCAGAGACGAAAGAGGGAAGAAGACUACUGAAAUUCUAUUUUAUCUUUUUUGGGCUAAUGACAAUUGACACACAUGGGCCUCUUUUUGUUUAAAAACAUUCCCCAAAUCAAUGAAUCAUGAUCAACAACAAAUGGCCCAAACCCCCAAUCCAAUUCCACGUAAUAAAAAGCAAACCGAGGCAAAUUUGAAACGGUAAGCAAACCCUUCUAAGCUCUAGUUGAAAUUUGAAAUCGCAAACCCUUUUAGUUGAAAUCAGUGAACUGUUUGCUGGCGACGGCUGACGGGCGAGGACAAGGAGUCGCCGUCGACAAUGUUUCCAAAUCUUCAAUCUCAAAAAUCAGAAUUUUCGAGCAGCCUGUAGUGGACUGGUGACUAGUGUGGUGAGUGUCUUUCUCAGUUUCUCUUACUCCCCUUCUCUCUUUUUUUGUUAUUUUUGUUUUUGUUCUAUAUGCUGACUUGUUGAAUGUUGAGUGUUGUUUGAUAUUUCUUUAAUUUGUAUUAUUGCUUAUUAAUCAGUGGACUUUGAAUCACAUUCAUUCACAUAAAAG
rnacentral:lncRNA from 1 species